rnacentral:rRNA from 1 species
GAUGAGCGCUGGCGGCGUGCCUAACACAUGCAAGUCGAACGGGCUACUUCGGUAGCCAGUGGCAAACGGGUGCGUAACACGUAGGUAAUCUACCCAGGAGACGGGGGACAACGGAUGGAAACGUCCGCUAAUACCCGAUGACGUCGAGAGACGAAAGGCGCGAGCCACUACUGGAGGAGCCUGCGGCCUAUCAGGUAGUUGGUGGGGUAAGAGCCUACCAAGCCGACGACGGGUAGGGGGUGUGAGAGCAUGACCCCCCACACGGGGACUGAGACACGGCCCCGACUCCUACGGGAGGCAGCAGUGAGGGAUAUUGGGCAAUGGGCGCAAGCCUGACCCAGCGACGCCGCGUGGAGGACGAAGGGCUUCGGCUCGUAAACUCCUUUUCCCGUGGACGAGAAGCGGACGGUACACGGGGGAAUAAGUCUCGGCUAACUACGUGCCAGCAGCCGCGGU